AGAGUUUGAUCCUGGCUCAGAUUGAACGCUGGCGGCAUGCCUUACACAUGCAAGUCGAACGGCAGCACGGGUGCUUGCACCUGGUGGCGAGUGGCGAACGGGUGAGUAAUGUAUCGGAACGUGCCUACGAGUGGGGGAUAACUAUCCGAAAGGAUAGCUAAUACCGCAUAUUCUGUGCGCAGGAAAGCGGGGGAUCUUUGGACCUCGCGCUCGUGGGGCGGCCGAUAUCAGAUUAGCUAGUUGGUGGGGUAAAGGCUUACCAAGGCGACGAUCUGUAGCGGGUCUGAGAGGAUGAUCCGCCACACUGGGACUGAGACACGGCCCAGACUCCUACGGGAGGCAGCAGUGGGGAAUUUUGGACAAUGGGCGCAAGCCUGAUCCAGCCAUGCCGCGUGAGUGAAGAAGGCCUUCGGGUUGUAAAGCUCUUUCGGACGGGAAGAAAUCGUGUGGACUAAUACUCUGCGCGGAUGACGGUACCGUCAUAAGAAGCACCGGCUAACUACGUGCCAGCAGCCGCGGUAAUACGUAGGGUGCGAGCGUUAAUCGGAAUUACUGGGCGUAAAGCGUGCGCAGGCGGUUUUGUAAGAUAGGCGUGAAAUCCCCGGGCUCAACCUGGGAACUGCGCUUAUGACUGCAAGGCUAGAGUAUGGCAGAGGGGGGUGGAAUUCCACGUGUAGCAGUGAAAUGCGUAGAGAUGUGGAGGAACACCGAUGGCGAAGGCAGCCCCCUGGGCCAAUACUGACGCUCAUGCACGAAAGCGUGGGUAGCGAACAGGAUUAGAUACCCUGGUAGUCCACGCCCUAAACGAUGUCAACUAGGUGUUGGGAGGGUAAAACCUUUUAGUACCGUAGCUAACGCGUGAAGUUGACCGCCUGGGGAGUACGGCCGCAAGGUUAAAACUCAAAGGAAUUGACGG
rnacentral:rRNA from 1 species